GGAUUAGAUACCCUGGUAGUCCAUGCUGUAAACGAUGGAUACUCGCUGUAGCUGGUAUUGACCCCGGCUGUAGCCAAGUUAACACGUUAAGUAUCCCGCCUGGGGAGUACGGUCGCAAGAUUAAAACUCAAAGGAAUUGACGGGGGCCCGCACAAGCGGUGGAUUAUGUGGUUUAAUUCGAAGCAACGCGCAAAACCUUACCUAGGCUUGACAUGUAUCGGAAUAGACCUGGAAACAGGCUAGGCCCGCAAGGGACCGAUAACACAGGUGCUGCAUGGCUGUCGUCAGCUCGUGCCG
rnacentral:rRNA from 1 species